rnacentral:rRNA from 1 species
UACGGGGGAAGCAAGCGUUGUUCGGAUUUACUGGGCGUAAAGGGCGCGUAGGCGGCCAGUGCAAGUCAGUUGUGAAAUCUCCGAGCUUAACUCGGAAAGGUCAACUGAUACUGCUCGGCUAGAGUGCGGAAGGGGCAACUGGAAUUCUUGGUGUAGCGGUGAAAUGCGUAGAUAUCAAGAGGAACACCUGCGGCGAAGGCGGGUUGCUGGGCCGACACUGACGCUGAGACGCGAAAGCGUGGGGAGCGAACAGG